rnacentral:rRNA from 1 species
CCUACGGGAGGCAGCAGUGAGGAAUAUUGGUCAAUGGGCGCGAGCCUGAACCAGCCAAGUCGCGUGAGGGAAGACGGUCCUAUGGAUUGUAAACCUCUUUUGUCGGGGAGCAAAAGACGCCACGCGUGGCGUUCCGAGAGUACCCGAAGAAAAAGCAUCGGCUAACUCCGUGCCAGCAGCCGCGGUAAUACGGAGGAUGCGAGCGUUAUCCGGAUUUAUUGGGUUUAAAGGGUGCGCAGGCGGAAUAUCAAGUCAGCGGGAAAAUUGAGAGGCUCAACCUGUUCGAGCCGUUGAAACUGGUUUUCUUGAGUGAGUGAGAAGUAUGCGGAAUGCGUGGUGUAGCGGUGAAAUGCAUAGAUAUCACGCAGAACUCCGAUUGCGAAGGCAGCAUACCGGCGCUCAACUGACGCUCAUGCACGAAAGUGUGGGUAUCGAACAGGAUUAGAUACCCCAGUAGUC